UACGGAGGGUGCAAGCGUUAUCCGGAUUCACUGGGUUUAAAGGGUGCGUAGGUGGGCAAGUAAGUCAGUGGUGAAAUCUCCAGGCUUAACUUGGAAACUGCCAUUGAUACUAUCAGUCUUGAAUACCGUGGAGGUCAGCGGAAUAUGUCAUGUAGCGGUGAAAAUGCUUAGAUAUGACAUAGAACACCAAUUGCGAAGGCAGCUGGCUACACGAAUAUUGACACUGAUGCACGAAAGCGUGGGGAUCAAACAGG
rnacentral:rRNA from 1 species